rnacentral:rRNA from 1 species
UACAGAGGGGGCAAGCGUUGUUCGGGAGUACUGGGCGUAAAGGGCGCGUAGGCGGCCCGCUAAGUCGAACGUGAAAUCCCCAGGCUCAACCUGGGAACUGCGUCCGAUACUGGCAGGCUUGAAUCCGGGAGAGGGAUGUGGAAUUCCAGGUGUAGCGGUGAAAUGCGUAGAUAUCUGGAGGAACACCGGUGGCGAAGGCGGCAUCCUGGACCGGUAUUGACGCUGAGGCGCGAAAGCUAGGGGAGCAAACGGG